AUGGGGGAGGCGACCAUGAAUAUCAUCGGCGCUUUCGGUAGCACGUUCAGCCACCGUGUCAAGCUGGCUCUGAGUCCCAAGGGAGUUCCCUACGAGCUCGCACUAGAAGACCUGGCCAACAAAAGUGAGUUGCUGCUGACCCACAACUCCGUCCACAGGAUGGUCGCCGUGCUCCUCCACGACGGUCGGUCCAUCCGUGAGUCGCUCUUCAUCGUCGAGUACGUGGACGAGGCCUUCCAUGGGCCGCCACACCUGCCGGCCAACAUCCACAACGAUCAAAAGGAGCAGCUGAAUGGGAAGAAGUUCUUCGGCCGGGACGCCAUCGGCCUCGUGGACAUCACUGUCGGCGGGUUGGCUGGUGCACUGGCUGGGCGUCUUCGAGGAGAUCUGCGGGGUGACGCUGGUUGCCGACGAGGAAUUCCCCGGUCUCUGCCGCUGGGCGAAGGCCUACGUCGAGGAGGAGGACGACGUGAAGUGGUGCCUGUCGGAUAUGGGAAAUGGAGAUAUUUGGCAAAAAAGAAGGACAUGAAAUGA
rnacentral:rRNA from 1 species